rnacentral:rRNA from 1 species
UACGAAGGGGGCUAGCGUUGCUCGGAAUUACUGGGCGUAAAGCGCACGUAGGCGGUCUUUUAAGUCGGGGGUGAAAUCCUGGAGCUCAACUCCAGAACUGCCUUCGAUACUGGAAGACUCGAGUCCGGGAGAGGUCGAGUGGAACUGCGAGUGUAGAGGUGAAAUUCGUAGAUAUUCGCAAGAACACCAGUGGCGAAGGCGGCUCACUGGCCCGGUACUG